rnacentral:lncRNA from 1 species
AUAACAUUUGAGAGAGAGCAUAGAGAGGUAACCAAGUGGGAGCUUUCCAUAACUCCAGCGAAAUUCUUGGUGGCUUCCGAUGGAUCCUUUCUCGGUAUAUCCAUUGCCAUUCCUGUGGACGACGGUGUAUGAUCCGGUAUGGCACAAAUCUGAGUUCAACAUCAAGAACACUUCAUUGGUGGUGUUGAAGAAGCUUUGAGUCGGUUUUGGUUCGAUUUUACACUUUUAGAGUUUAUUAUUCCGCAUUGUAGUUAUAAUAAUCUUUUGUAUUCUACACUUUAAACUUUACAAAUGGUAUCAGAGCUUAGGCUAGUGGUAAAAAGUGUUAAAACAACCUGAAAAUCGGAUUGGAAGUCGAAGUGGUACAAUUUUGUACGAAAACAAGUUCAGCAGAAACUUUGAACCCAUUUUCUGGAAAAACUACACAUCUGGUGGACGAACGGAGACCACCACUAGACUCCACACGUCAAGCAGAUUAUUUCGGUUCAGCGCGUGUUGCACACGAGCCGACGGUGGAGGCGGCGCUGAGACCACGCACAAAAGACACAGGUGGCGCGUGAGGGCGCGUGUGAAGGUUUUUGCCGGAGGUCAAAAAAGACAGAUUGUUCCUUGAUUAAUUUUCGGCCUUCUGGUGCUAUUGGAUUUCAGUUUGGUGCACUGUGGAAGCAGAUACAAUCUCGGGCAGAAAAGUGGAAACGAAGAAACUUUUCUGUUGGCGGCUCGGUGGUGUUUCAGCAGUUGUUGGAUAACUUAGGGCAGUUACUAGAUGCUUCAGAUCAAUAAAAACUCUCAUCUCUCCUUGAAACACGAACCAAUAGAUUGGUUCGCUUGGUUUGUGCACUUUAAC